AGGCCCUGGGUUCGAUCCCCAGCUCCGAAAAAAAGAAAAGAAAAAAAAAAAAGAGAGAGAGAGAAGAAAGUGUUCUCUGUCCUGCUUCUGUACGGUAAGUAUUUAGUAAACAUUCCAAACCAAAAAAACAUACUUCUGUUCUUUCUUUUGAUGAGGAGGAAGUCGGGAGAUAGGGAGAAAUGUAGAAGAGUUAGAGGAAGUCGGGAGAUAGGGAGAAAUGUAGAAGAGUUAGGUGUCGCGCCCAACCUCGACCAGCAAGGAAGACCCGACCAGAGAAGAUCUUCUUCAAGCAGUUUUACUCAGGAACCUUGAUACAAUCUUCUGACCUCAGGAACCCCCACACCACACUUAAAUAGCUAGCGCUGGCCAAUCCUAGCAAGCCACGUAGGGAUAGCGGAUAGGCUGCAUCUAUACGGAAGCGACCAGGCCAAGCAGGACCAGCCAAAUAAGGACUUGUUUUUCACAAGGAGCAGAAGGCGGAAACCGGCACCAUCCCUGGGGCGCGGGACCUCGCAGCUCCCUACAGUUAGGAUUGGGAAUUACAUGCGAGACAGAAAGCUCUAGACCUAGGUAGCUACCCAGAGCUUACCGAGCAAGGAGACAGGUCAGGAGAGACAAAAGCCACGUCAGGGGAAGUGGGAGAUUCCUCCUCAGUGGGUACUUAAAGGUGAGGUGUAAGGUGAGAGAGGCUGGAAGAAGCGAAGUCAGAGGGUAGGGGGCGAAACCAAGGAAGAGAAAGGGGCAGGAAAGAUGGAGCCGUAGCUCUGUUCUGGACAUUUGCACCUGAGGGACCCACUGAAGAACCGGGCUGAGGUAGAAGGAAGCUCAAAGAGGCAGGAAUACAGAACUAGGAACCCGGGUAGAACAAGAAACGGAUAUAAGAAGAAACAAUGCCAUUUCUACAGAAGUGUUCAUAAACCCUUCACGUGGCUUUACAAAUGACCAGGAAUUCACUGAGAAGGGACCUUGACAGAAACAUCACUAUUUUCCUGAAGCUGGAGGAUGACUUUCAAGAAGCAAUAUGGUGUAACAGGAGUUGGAGCCCUUUGCCGGUAGACCAAUUCGAUGAACUGAGUUUAUUUACUGAGUUUCUACUCUGAAGAAGUCACCUUGAUAGGUGCUGGGAACGACAGAUGGCAAAACACACCCAGCUAGACUCAUGGAGGUCUCGCUGUAGCUGCAAGACAGCUGUCAUUCAACUGAGCUCACCAAUCAGAAAUGCAGUGCUGUUUAAUAUACAGAGACAUCUGGCAGUCAGAUGACCCAACUGGGAGGCUGGCUUAGAAAAAAACGUGAAUGGCUUCCCUGGGAUUGGAAGUUGGCCUGAUGUAAGAAUAAUGACUAUGAGAUGAAUAUAUUCAUGUAAUAUAUGCAUAGAUAAUUCUCAUAUAUAUAUGUACAUAUAUAAGCCAAAUAUAUAUCUUUGGUUUCUAAA